rnacentral:rRNA from 1 species
UACAGAGGUCUCAAGCGUUGUUCGGAUUCAUUGGGCGUAAAGGGUGCGUAGGCGGCGCGGUAAGUCGGGUGUGAAAUUUCGAGGCUUAACUUCGAAACUGCAUUCGAUACUGCCGUGCUUGAGGACUGGAGAGGAGACUGGAAUUUACGGUGUAGCGGUGAAAUGCGUAGAUAUCUGGAGGAACACCGGUGGCGAAGGCGGCAUCCUGGACCGACACUGACGCUGAGGAGCGAAAGCCAGGGGAGCAAACGGG